CGAAGGGAAACCGAGUCUUAACUGGGCGUUAAGUUGCAGGGUAUAGACCCGAAACCCGGUGAUCUAGCCAUGGGCAGGUUGAAGGUUGGGUAACACUAACUGGAGGACCGAACCGACUAAUGUUGAAAAAUUAGCGGAUGACUUGUGGCUGGGGGUGAAAGGCCAAUCAAACCGGGAGAUAGCUGGUUCUCCCCGAAAGCUAUUUAGGUAGCGCCUCGUGAACUCAUCUUCGGGGGUAGAGCACUGUUUCGGCUAGGGGGUCAUCCCGACUUACCAACCCGAUGCAAACUGCGAAUACCGAAGAAUGUUAUCACGGGAGACACACGGCGGGUGCUAACGUCCGUCGUGAAGAGGGAAACAACCCAGACCGCCAGCUAAGGUCCCAAAGUCACAGUUAAGUGGGAAACGAUGUGGGAAGGCUCAGACAGCCAGGAUGUUGGCUUAGAAGCAGCCAUCAUUUAAAGAAAGCGUAAUAGCUCACUGGUCGAGUCGGCCUGCGCGGAAGAUGUAACGGGGCUAAACUGUGCACCGAAGCUGCGGCAGCGACGCUUAUGCGUUGUUGGGUAGGGGAGCGUUCUGUAAGCCUGCGAAGGUGUCCUGUGAGGGAUGCUGGAGGUAUCAGAAGUGCGAAUGCUGACAUAAGUAACGAUAAUGCGGGUGAAAAGCCCGCUCGCCGGAAGACCAAGGGUUCCUGUCCAACGUUAAUCGGGGCAGGGUGAGUCGACCCCUAAGGCGAGGCCGAAAGGCGUAGUCGAUGGGAAACGGGUUAAUAUUCCCGUACUUGGUGUUACUGCGAAGGGGGGACGGAGAAGGCUAUGUUGGCCGGGCGACGGUUGUCCCGGUUUAAGCGUGUAGGCUGGUUUUCCAGGCAAAUCCG
rnacentral:rRNA from 1 species